GCUGGGCAACAUGACGGGCGCGAUCAAGGAGAAGCUGACGGUUGGCUCAGGCACGCAGAAGCACGACGCUGGAGGGCACGGCCUCCGGCUGGGCGACGAGGACGAGCGCGCGGUGAAGGAGCGCGCGGCGGAGAAGGCUGCGUCCGUCUACUUCGAGGAGAAGGACCGGCUGGCCAAGGAGCGCGCGGCGGAGCGGGUGGACAAAUGCGUCGAGAAGUGCGUGGAAGGGUGCGCCGGCUCGUCCUGCGCGCACCGCAAGGGCAAGAUGUGAGCGGCCGGGCUUCCCACGUGACCGACCGCGGGCGCGUCUUCGGUGCGACGUGCACACGUAUCGCGUUCUCAUGCCGUCACUCCGAGCAUGGCGGCGACAAUAAACUUUUAACUCCUAGUGGAGCUCCAGUAGAGCCUUCGUUUUCAAGUUCCUUUUACUUUUCUUUGGGGACAAGUUCCUUUUACUACUGCCUUUAUCCAAGUAGUGUGUGCGUCCCUUAGUUUGGUGAAUCGUAAAUGCUCUACUGCUUUGUUUCAGAAUCUCCGGUGUCUUCGUAGUACGAGUUUUUGCAUGACCUGUGUGUACUGUCUGCGUGAGUCUGUCUACCUCAGGACUAGUCUACGCGUGACCUGUGUGUACUGUCUGCCUGAGUCUGUCUACCUCAGGACUAGUCUACGCGUGUGUUGUGUGCACCGAGGCGUACACGAUCGAUAGUUUUCCUUUGGGAGGGGAUGACGUCAUGGCUACUUUAUUGAUCUGAUAAUAUCAGUACAUCCUUCACGAAAGGAGCUUACAAAGAAAAUCAGAGAAUUCCCCCUGCAAAAAAAAAAAAACCCAGAGAAUUCAUCGACCCAAUUAGGAAAGACAUCAUGAUCAUAAGCGUAUGUAGGGGUUGUUUGGAUAGGUGGAAUGUACAGAACGAAUUCUCUAAACCAGGAAAGCAGUCUAACAGGAUAAAACCACGUGGAU
rnacentral:lncRNA from 1 species